rnacentral:rRNA from 1 species
GAUGAACGCUGGCGGCGUGCCUAAUACAUGCAAGUCGAGCGAACGGACCAGAAGCUUGCUUCUCUGAUGUUAGCGGCGGACGGGUGAGUAACACGUGGAUAACCUACCUAUAAGACUGGGAUAACUUCGGGAAACCGGAGCUAAUACCGGAUGAUAUUUUGAACCGCAUGGUUCAAAAGUGAAAGACGGUCUUGCUGUCACUUAUAGAUGGAUCCGCGCUGCAUUAGCUAGUUGGUAAGGUAACGGCUUACCAAGGCAACGAUGCAUAGCCGACCUGAGAGGGUGAUCGGCCACACUGGAACUGAGACACGGUCCAGACUCCUACGGGAGGCAGCAGUAGGGAAUCUUCCGCAAUGGGCGAAAGCCUGACGGAGCAACGCCGCGUGAGUGAUGAAGGUCUUCGGAUCGUAAAACUCUGUUAUUAGGGAAGAACAUAUGUGUAAGUAACUGUGCACAUCUUGACGGUACCUAAUCAGAAAGCCACGGCUAACUACGUG